rnacentral:lncRNA from 1 species
UUCUUUUUUUGGUGGCGUAAAUUAAUUAGUUAAUUAUUUUUUAAUUUACUUUUGUUGCACUUGUUGAUUCACAGGUUGUUCAUACAUGUUGUUCUAUUAUCAUAUAAUUUUUAAAGGUGUGUUAAUUUAAAUUUUGUUAGUGUUACUAUCAUAUAACUGUUUAGUUACUUCUGCAUUAUGUUUUGGUUACUUCUUUAUUUUGUUUUAGUUACUGUUACCUUAUGGUUUGGCUACUAUUAUUGUGCCCUCGAUGUGGGAUUUUGGUUACUGUUAUUUUUAUUCUAACAUGUACAUUAUGUACCCUCACAUGUACAUUAUUUUUGGUUACUAACAUAUAACUGUUUGGUUACUGCAUUAGUAUAUUUUUUGUUACUGUUAGCUUAUGAUUUGGAUACCAUUCUUUUUUCCUCAAUUGGGAUUUUGGUUACUUUUAUAUGUUGUUUUGGUUACUUUUAUAUGUUGUUUUGGUUACAAUGUAUUUGCUUAGUAUACAUUGAUUGACUAAAUUGAGUCUGGACUACAUGUUGUUUAGUAUACUAGACUAAUUUAUUGGGGCUUGAUGUAAUGCUUACGUUGUAGAUACGUCAAGCAAUAAAAAAUAGAUACUAUCAUAUAACUAUUUGGUUACUUCUGCAUUAUGUUUUGGUUACUGUUAGCUUGAGAUUCGGAUACCAUGUUUGUUACCUUGAUUUGGUAUUUUGGUUACUUUUUUAUGUUAUGGUUACCAUUUAUUUGCUUAGUAUACAUGGUUGACUAAACUGAUUUUGGUGUACAUGUUGUUUAUGUAUUGGUUACCAUUAAAAUAUGUUUUGGUUACUAUCAUAUAAAUAUUUGGUUACUUAUUUAGUAUGUUUUUGGUUACUGUUAGUUUCUGAUUUGGAUUCCAUUUUUGUUUCGUUGAGUUCGGAUUUUGCUUAUUGUUUUUUGUUGUUCUGGUUACAAUAUAAAUGUUUGGUUACUUCAUUAGUAUAUUUUUU